rnacentral:piRNA from 1 species
UAGGAUUUAAUGCCUUUGUCAGAUUUUGA